ensembl:lncRNA
UUCUGCACCCCGCAACCCAAGCAAGGGCCCGAGCCGGCGCAGACCCGGCCCCGCGGAGACCACCCCACGGAGCUCUUACGGAGCCCCCACCGAUCUCCCACGGAAUCGCCACUGAGACCUCGAGGAGCCCCCUCUGAGACCCUAAGGAGCCCCAAUGAAAUCCCACAAAUUCCUCACCGAGACCCCACCAAGGACCCACGGAAGACCCUCAAGAAGGACCCAUGAGCCCCCACUAAGACCCACGGAAGCCCGUCGCCGCCCAGCCUGUGAAGGCCCAGCUGCAGGCCGGUCUGCCCAGCCCUGCGCAGUGACCAAUCACGGUGACUCAGCCCUCAGAACCCAGGGCUCCUUGGAAAAAUAAGUCGGCCAUCCAAGGCCACCAAGCCUCUGGAGAUGUCGAGCAUUGAAUGUAUAGUUUCACUUCCCAAACCACCCUGUGGCCUUAGGCAAAUGACCUAACUUCUCCCAACCCCGGUUUCUAGGUUCUGCUUUCUGCAAAGCCAGUAAACCCUCCUGACCCAGCCAUAAGCAGGCUGUCAGUCCUGACAGCCCGUGAUGUCAAGCUCCCUGAAAAUCACAGAGUGAUGGAGAGACAGCAGCCACUAACAUUUCCGGGAGUUCUUCCCUCUCAAGCAGCCCCUUUAGUCUUCCCAGGACCCUGGAAAAGGAGGUUGGACAUGUUUGCACUGGGGUAUGGCUUUCAAAGCACUCGAGGGGGGUGGUCUCAUUUUGUAUGGAUCCCUGGUCAGCAGGCGCCUCUCUCCUAGCCCGUGGCCCCUGUCCUGGCCCUCAGGAUCCGAGUCUGUAAAAUGGAAAUAUGCACUGCCCACUCCACAUGGUGGAGAGAAUUAGAUGCUACGAGCUGGAACAGCAGCUGGCGUUACGUCGGCAUUCAGCACACGUUAUUUAAAAAACAAAUUAAUUGUGAGGUAAUGCAGCUGAAACAGCUUCAUGAACUGUGAACUGGUUUUCAGGAGUGAGGCGGUGUCUCCACUUUCCGGAUGGAAACCUCUGGCGUGGGAGCAUUCUGUGGAAGGACCAGCACAGGGAAGAUGGAGUCAAGGAACCUAGAACUGGGGGGUUCUGUUUUUGAGUGUAGACACCAGGCUUUGGAGAGCCAGGAGCAGCCUUGCCUAGAGUGGAAAAAUGUGGCUUUGGAGUCAGAUGGACCUGGGCUCCAGAGCCACCAGCCGCGAGCCCUGGGUGUGCAUCUGCUUGACCUGCGAGGCCCGGCCUCAGUUGUGAAAUGUGGAAGUAACACCUGGGAGGGUGCUCUGAGAUUUCCUGGGGCGCUUACCUGUUGGGGCUCGGUUGCUGUGCUGGCCCAGGACUACUCAUGCGUCACCAUGCAGCAGGGCCCUGGCCCAAGGAUCUCACUCCAAAGGCUUCUCUUUACGGCACUUGUCACCACCAGACAUGCUGUAUUUUUAUGGGUGUAACUGGUGAUAAAUAUCCAAGUGGACUUGAGAGAACUUGGAAUGCAAUGCCGCCUGCUUCCUGCUCCCGUGGGACCCACGUGACUCUCAUCCCAGAGGAGACACCUGUGCCUCCAACCCGGUGGCUUGCCUCCUCGUCCCUCAGGAUGUAACGACAACGACAAGUUUACUGUGUGAGGUCCCAGGCCGAGCGCCAACGCUGAAUGGUUCAUUCAGACCUCACAUUGUCUGGCACAUUUUCAAGCAUUCUUCCCCGUGUUUUGUAGACAAGAAAACCAAGGCUCCCUGAGGGCCAGGUUAAGUAACUUGUCCAGCUGCUCGCCACGGCGCAAAGAUGAAGCUGAGUUUUGAAAUACCACAUCAUGCGGUAUUUAGAGAAGAAGAUUGAAAAGACUUUUCAGAAGAGGUGGGGAGGGACAAUUUUGACAUUAUCUUUUUUCUCCUUAUCAUAUAAGCAAUGCAUGCUCAUUGUUUGUUUAAUUAAGAAAAAGUCAGAGUUUGAAAAGACAUUAGCAGAGGAGUGGUGGUGAGGUUUCCCCUCAUCUGCCUGUUUCUUUCUAAGAACUAAGGGAAAUGACUGAGCCCUCAGAGGGGAGGGAGGGAGGAGAGAAUGUCCUGGCAUUAAAUCUGAGCGGAGAACAUCGUAACCCUGCAGGGGAGGUGUCCAUCCAUGUGCCGUGCUUCCACACAAGCUUGCAAAGCAUCGGAACCCGUGUUCAUGAUUGGUGGCAGUGGGUCUGAAACAAGCCUGAUUCUCUGGAUUUCUGCAUUUCGGGUGGCCAGGCUCUCUGCACAGCUGUGACAGUGACCCUCCCCCUGACUCAGCUCUAGUUGGACUCCUCUAAGCCUCAAGGCCCCACACUCAGGCUCUGUCUUCCCACAUUUAGCCCAGUUUUAGCGGAAAUCCCCCACCCUCGAUGUUGUCACCUCAGCCUCACUUUAGCAAGAAUCCCGUGGAGUUGGUCUAGCAAGAACGCCCCCAGUCUUGUGUUUCCUCCUAGUAACUUCCCAUCCAUCACCACCCAAUACACACCCUACUCCUUGGCUCUGAAUCCCCACUUGUCCUUAUUGUGUUCAGAGCUGAGCCUCUCAGUCUCUCCCCGCUACUGCAAAA